AGCCGCCGCCCCUGCGCUCCGGGGCUGCGGAGCGCAUGGGGCGCGUGGAGCCAGGAACGCUCGCGGGCUGCGCACCCGGCCGCCUGCUGCGGUGAGACACGGCGCCGGACGCCCCCAGAGUCCGAGCAGUCGGGAGGAUGACCAUGGCUGGCGGCCGGCGGGGACUGGUGGCCCCACAGAACACAUUUCUGGAGAACAUCGUGCGGCGGUCCAACGACACUAAUUUUGUGUUGGGGAAUGCCCAGAUAGUGGACUGGCCCAUCGUGUACAGCAAUGAUGGAUUCUGCAAGCUGUCUGGCUACCACCGGGCGGAAGUGAUGCAGAAAAGCAGUGCCUGCAGUUUUAUGUAUGGAGAGCUGACUGACAAGGACACAGUUGAAAAGGUUCGCCAGACCUUUGAGAACUACGAGAUGAAUUCCUUCGAAAUUCUGAUGUACAAGAAGAACAGGACACCUGUGUGGUUUUUUGUGAAGAUCGCUCCGAUCAGGAACGAACAGGAUAAAGUGGUCCUGUUCCUUUGCACUUUCAGCGACAUAACUGCAUUCAAGCAGCCCAUCGAGGACGACUCCUGCAAAGGUUGGGGGAAGUUUGCCCGACUGACCAGAGCUCUGACAAGCAGCAGGGGAGUCCUGCAGCAGCUGGCACCCAGUGUGCAGAAGGGUGAGAAUGUUCACAAGCACUCGCGCCUGGCAGAGGUUCUGCAGCUGGGUUCAGACAUCCUUCCCCAGUACAAGCAAGAGGCGCCCAAGACACCCCCUCACAUCAUCCUACACUACUGUGUCUUUAAGACCACUUGGGAUUGGAUCAUCUUGAUCCUGACCUUCUACACAGCCAUCCUGGUCCCUUACAACGUCUCCUUUAAAACCAGGCAGAAUAAUGUGGCCUGGCUGGUGGUGGACAGCAUCGUGGACGUCAUCUUUCUGGUGGACAUUGUUUUGAAUUUUCACACCACCUUUGUCGGACCAGCGGGGGAAGUGAUCUCUGACCCCAAACUUAUCCGCAUGAACUACCUGAAGACGUGGUUCGUGAUCGACCUUCUGUCCUGUUUGCCGUAUGACGUCAUCAACGCUUUUGAGAACGUGGAUGAGGUUAGUGCCUUUAUGGGUGAUCCAGGGAAGAUUGGUUUUGCUGAUCAGAUCCCACCACCACUGGAGGGGAGAGAGAGUCAGGGCAUCAGCAGCCUGUUCAGUUCUCUGAAAGUUGUGCGGCUGCUCCGUCUCGGGCGAGUGGCCCGCAAGCUGGACCAUUACAUCGAGUAUGGAGCCGCGGUACUGGUCCUGUUGGUGUGCGUGUUUGGGCUGGCAGCCCACUGGAUGGCCUGCAUCUGGUAUAGCAUUGGGGACUAUGAGAUCUUUGAUGAAGACACCAAGACCAUCCGCAACAACAGCUGGCUCUACCAACUGGCAUUGGACAUCGGCACUCCGUACCAGUUUAACGGGUCCGGUUCGGGGAAGUGGGAAGGCGGGCCAAGCAAGAACUCUGUCUACAUCUCCUCGCUGUACUUCACCAUGACAAGUCUCACCAGUGUAGGCUUUGGUAACAUUGCCCCAUCCACAGACAUCGAGAAGAUCUUCGCAGUGGCCAUCAUGAUGAUUGGCUCUCUUCUGUAUGCCACCAUCUUUGGGAACGUGACAACCAUUUUCCAGCAGAUGUACGCCAACACCAACAGGUAUCAUGAGAUGCUCAAUAGUGUCCGGGAUUUCCUGAAGCUCUACCAGGUGCCCAAAGGGCUGAGUGAGCGGGUCAUGGACUACAUUGUGUCCACCUGGUCCAUGUCCCGAGGCAUCGACACAGAGAAGGUCCUGCAGAUCUGCCCCAAGGAUAUGCGAGCCGACAUUUGCGUGCACCUGAACCGCAAAGUGUUCAAAGAACACCCCGCCUUCCGAUUGGCCAGCGAUGGCUGCCUGAGGGCCUUGGCCAUGGAGUUCCAGACAGUGCACUGUGCCCCAGGGGACCUCAUCUAUCAUGCUGGGGAGAGUGUGGACAGCCUCUGCUUCGUGGUUUCAGGCUCCCUGGAGGUGAUCCAGGAUGAUGAGGUGGUGGCCAUCCUAGGGAAAGGAGACGUGUUUGGGGACGUUUUCUGGAAGGAGGCUACCCUUGCACAGUCCUGUGCUAAUGUCCGGGCCUUGACCUACUGUGACCUGCACGUGAUCAAGAGGGACGCCCUUCAGAAAGUGCUAGAAUUCUACACAGCCUUCUCCCACUCCUUCUCCCGGAACCUCAUUCUCACCUACAACCUGAGGAAGAGGAUUGUGUUCCGGAAGAUCAGCGACGUGAAACGAGAAGAAGAGGAGAGGAUGAAACGGAAGAACGAGGCCCCCCUUAUCCUGCCUCCUGACCACCCUGUCAGGAGACUCUUCCAAAGGUUCCGCCAGCAGAAAGAAGCCAGGCUGGCGGCUGAGAGAGGAGGCCGGGACCUGGAUGACCUGGAUGUAGAGAAGGGCAACGCCCUCACGGACCAUACCUCGGCCAACCACACCCUGGUGAAGGCCAGCGUGGUCACGGUGCGGGAGAGCCCCGCCACGCCCGUGUCCUUCCAGGUGACCACUGCCUCCACAGUGUCAGACCACGCCAAGCUGCAUGCCCCCGGAUCUGAGUGCCUAGGUCCCAAGGCAGUCGGCUGUGACCCUGCCAAGCGCAAAGGCUGGGCCCGCUUCAAAGACGCCUGUGGAAAGGGUGAGGAUUGGAACAAGGUGUCCAAGGCAGAGUCCAUGGAGACGCUGCCUGAGAGGACAAAGGCACCGGGCGAGGCCACGCUGAAGAAGACAGACUCCUGUGACAGCGGAAUCACCAAGAGCGACCUGCGCUUGGACAAUGUGGGUGAGGCCAGGAGUCCCCAGGACCGGAGCCCCAUCUUGGCUGAGGUCAAGCAUUCUUUCUACCCCAUCCCCGAGCAGACGCUGCAGGCCACAGUGCUGGAGGUGAAGUACGAGCUGAAGGAGGACAUCAAGGCCUUGAAUGCCAAAAUGACCUCCAUCGAGAAGCAGCUGUCUGAGAUACUCAGGAUACUCAUGUCCAGAGGGUCCUCCCAGUCUCCUCAGGAGACGGGCGAGAUCUCCAGGCCCCAGUCCCCAGAGUCAGACAGAGACAUUUUUGGAGCAAGCUGAAAGGAUCAUUCCAAAACAAACGAACAAACGAAAAAUCAAAGACAAGAGCCUGCUCCCCACCCUGCCCCUGACACUACCCGCAACACCAAACACAUGACCAACAACUUUCAUACUGGGCUUUUUCUGACAGGAUGUCAAAGUCAGACCAAGUGGCUUAGGUGUGCCUGCGUGGUCUCUGGCAAACAAAAGAGGAACACGGCCAGGCAUCCCACCCUGCAAGAUGGAAGAGCCACUGACAGUUGUUGAAGAAGGGGCAUGCUCUCCGCCUAAAGAGCAUUUCCUCUAACGUGUUUUACAGAUGUGAUAUCUAUAAAGGGCAGCGGCCAUGUAGAGAGUGGUGGGAGAGCCCUGAGAACCUCUCAGAAAUAGACCACACCAGGUUUCUUUACCAAGACCCCUGAAGACCUCCAUAGGCACAGGGACUUCUGGGCAUUCACCACCCCCGUGUAGCUGUGUCUGACGUCACCACCUGUUUUUCUACUUUCAUCAUUUGUAACAGGCUCGUGAUAAGGGGAGCUUGACCGACUAGAGAGCUUUUCUGCUGACAGUAGAGGUGGAGCAUCAGGUGCUGUGCCGUGGACACACGGGCUGGGCCCCUCAGGUUUCCUUGCCCCCAGAAGAGCUCCUGUGCCCUCCAACUGGAAGAGUCCUCAGAGUCCUUGAAGCACCGACCCUAAGCUUCCAAAAACGAACCAUUUUCCAUCCAAGGUGUUGGUAUGGAGACACGUUGCCGCCUCUCACACAGCUCAAAGGAAUCAGUGUGAAUUUACCUGCAGCUUAAGUGAGUCCCGAGUGAGACGUCAGUCUUCACACUAGUGUAUCAGAACCUUUAAAGAAGGUCUUGAAUUCCUGUGGGUGCCAGACCUGGUGGGGGCAUCUCCACCUGCCACUUGACCUUCCUCAGAGCUACUGACUCUCUAUACCUGUGACUUCUGAGUCAUCCCAUCGACCUAUUAGUCCUUGAGAAGCUCACAGCUCAACUUUCAGAAGUCAGACUGCUUCUUGGAAAGAAUGCAGCACCCCCCAGCACCACCCCAAUGAAUGUAGCCUCUUAAUAUUCAGACACUGUAUUUCGGCAUCAGUUGGAGACUGUCCACCAUCCAAGUUGCAAGGACAUUUAUACUCAUGAGCAGUUCGUCAUCCUGAGGCUUCUCAUACAAACACUCUCCAUCAAAUCCUGCCAAAUCCUUUAUCGGGUUUUUGUUGUUGUUGUUGUUGUUGUUUGUUUCAUUUUCCUCUGUCCGAAUGAGCAUGAAUAAACAGGUGCAAAUGAGCUGAGGCUAUUUUUAUGGUCAGCUGAGGAUGCUGCCAAGAGCUCCCCUGUGGCUGUGCGGAUGUGGAGAACAUAUGGGCACUCCGUGGAUGAUAACCCCUUUCUUGACAUUUUUAAA